rnacentral:rRNA from 1 species
GAUGAACGCUGGCGGCGUGCCUAAUACAUGCAAGUCGAGCGAACGGACGAGAAGCUUGCUUCUCUGAUGUUAGCGGCGGACGGGUGAGUAACACGUGGAUAACCUACCUAUAAGACUGGGAUAACUUCGGGAAACCGGAGCUAAUACCGGAUAAUAUUUUGAACCGCAUGGUUCAAAAGUGAAAGACGGUCUUGCUGUCACUUAUAGAUGGAUCCGCGCUGCAUUAGCUAGUUGGUAAGGUAACGGCUUACCAAGGCAACGAUGCAUAGCCGACCUGAGAGGGUGAUCGGCCACACUGGAACUGAGACACGGUCCAGACUCCUACGGGAGGCAGCAGUAGGGAAUGUUCCGCAAUGGGCGAAAGCCUGACGGAGCAACGCCGCGUGAGUGAUGAAGGUCUUCGGAUCGUAAAACUCUGUUAUUAGGGAAGAACAUAUGUGUAAGUAACUGUGCACAUCUUGACGGUACCUAAUCAGAAAGCCACGGCUAACUACGUG